CGGGUUGGGCCCCCCUAAGGUGGGGUUCCAGAGGUUAGCAUUAGGUGAGGAAGAUAAAGUUUUUAUAGCUCAGGAGUAGAGGGUUUCCAAACAGAGGAUUUGGCAGGCAAACAGGGUUAUAAAAGUAGAAUAUAACAAUUGGUCAUAAAAGCCUCUUGUGAAACAAAGACCUGGUCGCAAGGUGGUCUUAACAAGGUAGUCCUAACAAGCUGGUCAUGACAGCAGGUAGUCAUAAAAGAGUGGCCAUAACAAUCUCAGGGUUGCUGUUUUCUGGAACAGGCAGUACAAAUCCAUUUGUAGUCAAGGUUACGUGGUGCAGAGCAGAAUCCUUGAGAAACUGGUUUAAUCAUAAACAGGAAAGAGCCUAGUGUGUCUUUACCAAGAGAUGGUUUUCAAGCCUAGGGUGGAGGCAGCUGGUUCACUAUAUUGUGAGACCCUGGAUGCUACUUAAUCUUUUUUGCUUUUAACCAACAUCUUCCUGUCCAGUAGCAGGGAGCACAAGGGCUUCAUGGGUGAUGAAUGUUUUCAGCUUCCCGUAGAUUCCGCCAAAGUCAUCUCAGCAAAUGUAGAACAAACAGGUGCUCCUGAGUGGAGCUGAACUCCGUUCUAGAUCCUACUGACCUCGCUGUAAUGGUCGGCCUGGAGCGCGGGCAGCUUCCUUCAGGUGAGAGACGGACGGAUAGAAGAGCCGUUCCACCACAGUAUAGCUUAAUCUUAGUUUUCAGCUUUAUUGGAUCUGGAAUGAACUAGAAGACUGGCCUCGUGGCUGGAGAGAUGGCUCAGCGUUAGAGCAUUUGCUGCUCGUCUGAAGGACCCCGGCUGAGUUCCCAGCACUCAGGUCAGACAGCGCACAGUUGCCUGUAACCCUAGCACCAGGCUAUCCAUCUCUUUAAUUGUCUCAGUGUGCACAUACAUACAUGUAACAUAUGCACACAGACACACACACAAGGGGAGGGAGAGAUAAAAAUGGAGAAGGAGUUAAGGAGAGCAGGCUUUGGGGAUUUUCUUAAUUAGGUUACUAGGGUGGGAAGUCGAAGUCUAACUUUGGGUGUUCUUCCCAGGGGCAGCACAGAUCUAAGGAGAACAGAGGGGAGAGGUUUCAGGUUUCACUUUCUGCCUUGCUCGCCUGCACAUCUCACUUCUGGGUUCCUCUCUUUGACUGCUGCCAUCACCACAGCAGCUGCCAUCACGGUUGUUAUCGUCUGCUGACUUCAGAGCCCAGCUUCUUUGGUCUUCUGAUAUGGACCCAGAAAUCCUUCAGAGCUCCAGUGCCAGAGUAGAGCCUCCAAGGUAUUUGGCACCAUGGGGUCUGGGAUUGAAUCGCCUUUCUGUAACCUCUGCCAGGUCACUGAUGAGGUCUUAUAUUGAGAAACCUACCCUUGAGGACUUAAUCCCAGCACCACUGAGGACUCAAUCCCAGUACCACUCAGGAGUAAUUUUGUGUGAGACAUCUGCUUUCUUUUCCCAUUCUUUCUGGCAAGAGACAUGGCUGGAGCUGUCUUCAGCUUGGUUUAUGUCUUUUCCAUGCAGAUUCAUCAUUUUCUUGGGACUCUCCAGCUAGUCUAUCACUGCUUUUAUGAAUUCAUCAAACUCUGUCUUCCUUUCGAGUUGUCUCUUCCUCUUUACUGACUCUUCAUCUCCACUGGGUACCUGCCAGUCCAGCAUCUUACUCCUAAGUCUUACCCAUAAGUUUCAUCUCUGAAGUUAUCAUUAGUUUCUCUCAUAGUAUUCCCAUUAGGCCCUGAAUACAUUUUAAAUAUGUAUAAGGGCAGAGCAAUUUAAAGGCUACCUGGUUGUUUUACUCCUUUUGGGAGCUUCAUUGGCUCCUGCCAGACCUGUGAGAGUCCUCAGGGAGGGAGGAGUCCUCAGGGAGGGACCUCCUCAGGGAAGGAGGAGUCCUCAGGUCACAUCCACAGAGCUUUAUGUCCGAAGUGCACAGUGUCUUCAGCAAUAGUGACUUCCUUUCAGCCUCUGGGAGGCAGUCAAGGACAACAGCAAUAGCCCGUAAUGUUUUGGGAGGCUUUUGACUUUCCCUAAUUGUGGCUUUUAAGGGGAAGCAUUUUCAAGCCAAGUGUCAACUUUAUUUAACCCAUAUAUAUAUUUUAUAUAGUGU